UCCGGUUGAUCCUGCCAGAGGUUACUGCUAUCGGAGUUCGAUUAAGCCAUGCGAGUCUAAAGGUUUCUUCGGAAACCUUGGCGGACUGCUCAGUAACACGUGGAUAACCUACCCUUGGGACUGGGAUAACCCCGGGAAACUGGGGAUAAUACCGGAUAGAUCAGGGAUGCUGGAAUGCGCCUUGAUCCAAAGCUCCGGCGCCCAAGGAUGGGUCUGCGGCCUAUCAGGUAGUAGUGGGUGUAACGUACCUACUAGCCAACGACGGGUACGGGUUGUGAGAGCAAGAGCCCGGAGAUGGAUUCUGAGACACGAAUCCAGGCCCUACGGGGUGCAGCAGGCGCGAAACCUUUACAAUGUGCGAAAGCAUGAUAAGGGAACUCCGAGUGCCAGUAUCUAAUACUGGCUGUCCUUGUGCCUAAAACGCACAAGAUAGCAAGGGCCGGGUAAGACCGGUGCCAGCCGCCGCGGUAACACCGGCGGCCCGAGUGGUAGCCGCUAUUAUUGGGUCUAAAGGGUCCGUAGCCGGUUCGGUAAGUCCUCUGGGAAAUCUGGUUGCUUAACAAUCAGGCUGCCAAGGGAUACUGCCUGAACUUGAGACCGGGAGAGGUAAGAGGUACUUCAGGGGUAGGAGUGAAAUCUUGUGAUCCCUGGGGGACCAUCUGUGGCGAAGGCGUCUUACCAGAACGGGUCUGACGGUGAGGGACGAAAGCUGGGGGCGCAAACCGGAUUAGAUACCCGGGUAGUCCCAGCCGUAAACGAUGCUCGCUAUGUGUCAGGUACGGUGCGACCGUAUCUGGUGCCGUAGGGAAGCCGUGAAGCGAGCCACCUGGGAAGUACGGCCGCAAGGCUGAGACUUAAAGGAAUUGGCGGGGGAGCAC
rnacentral:rRNA from 1 species